rnacentral:rRNA from 1 species
UGUCGUCAGCUCGUGUCGUGAGAUGUUGGGUUAAGUCCCGCAACGAGCGCAACCCCUGUCCUUAGUUGCCAGCACAUAAUGGUGGGGACUCUAAGGAGACUGCCUGGGAUAACCAGGAGGAAGGUGGGGAUGAUGUCAAGUCAGUAUGUCCCUUAUGUCCAGGGCUACACACGUGUUACAAUGGCCGAUACAAUGGGUUGCCAACCCGCGAGGGGGAGCCAAUCUCAAAAAAUCGGCCCCAGUUCAGAUUGGAGUCUGCAACUCGACUCCAUGAAGGAGGAAUCGCUAGUAAUCGCGCAUCAGAACGGCGCGGUGAAUACGUUCCCGGGUCUUGUACACACCGCCCGUCACGCCAUGGAAGUCGGCAGUACCCGAAGCCGGUGGCCUAACCCCUUGGGGAGGGAGCCGUCUAAGGUAAGGCCGGUAACUAGGGCGAAGUCGUAACAAGGUAGCCGUACCGGAAGGUGCGGCUGGAUCACCUCCUUUCUAAGGAG